GUGGAGUGGAAUUGGUACCAGUUGACUCGAGUCAGAUGUCCAGUGUCGGAGGCGAGUGGUGCUGGAGAGAAAUGCGGUGAGGGGACUAUGGCCUCACUGACACUGUCCUCGACCCUGACAGGAGGGGUCCUCCACUUUUGCCCCCCGGAGAGCAACCCCCAGAGAGUGCAGGAGAAGCAGCAGCAGCAGCAGCAGGGUGUCGUCCCCUAUCUUGGCACUUUCCUCGGUGACCUGCUUAUGCUGUGUCUGGCGAUGGGUGAUUAUCUCGAGGGGAAUGAGAUCAACCUUAAGAAAGGGACUGAGGAAUACCGAGUCAUGAGGGAGAUGCUGCUGCUCCCAGUGGUUGCAAAGAAUUACAACCAGAGCCGGAGGAGCAAUUUGGGGCCUGAUUCCAGGACAUGGAGCUACUCAACGAGAAUGAUAGUUGAGGCUGUGCAGGAGUUGAGUGAGGGUAGGGGUGGACUCUCCCUGUUGGCCAGUCCAGAGAGCCUGUCUCCGUGGCCCCCUGCUCAGCCCCAGUCCUUAUUGCUUGGCGAACUCUGGGACACCCAGACUCCAGCUGCUGGGAAGGCAGUGGGGGGACACCUGAGGUGUGGCUCCUGGUAGGCUCAGAGGUGCCUCUCUGUACUGUAGCUACAGCCUGUCCUGCCUGAUGGAUCCCCAGAUCUAGUUGGCCAGCAGAAUAUUCAAGGCCAAGAAGAGCCGGCCAUCAUCAAGUUCAGGGGUCAAAGACCAAGGGCAGAGGUCAUCAAGAGGUCAAGUCUAAUCUACCUACGGAUGUGGCAGGCUUAACUAUGGAUGUUCAAGCCAGACAUUGCCAGCAGAACCAAAUCUCUUCACCCAUAGGUGAGUUUUUACUAGUAAUCACAGAGACUUAAGAAUAUCAAAGAAA